rnacentral:tRNA from 1 species
UAUAACUCAGUGGUAGAGCACAUGCCUAGCAUGCACAAGGUCCUGGGUUCAAUCCCCAGUA